UCUGACGAGGUGCAGAAAGAGGACUCUUUG
rnacentral:piRNA from 1 species